GCUACCUCAUUUGCCACUGCGGAAGCAACCCAAACUCCACCUGGGACCACUCAUCUCCUUACCAUCUUCAGCUGCAGGAAAGCAGUGUUUGGAGGGAUUUAGCAGUUGUGGACCAUGGUUUCUGUUUCAGAUGGAUUAGGUGGCAAGAGUUUGGGGGUAAGCCAGGAAGAAGUUGUACCCUGAGGACUGGAAAGCAGAGGCACCAGGAAAAGGCCUUGUAGAGAUGAGGGGUGCCGAUUGUAUUUGAAAACUUCUGCCCUUGCUUCUGGAUAUGCUGGGGGAUACAGCUUGAAACUAAAACAGAGCCCUGGGGUGACUGCUGCCAAUGUGUGGAGAAUAGAAAACCUGAAACUGACAAUGGGCCUUCUGAAAAACAUCUUCAAUCAGCUCAGAGAAGUCCUCACAGGAGCCAUGGUUCCCAAAGAAAUGAUACACAAAAGGCAUUUGCUGAUUAACUGAGGAGCUAAAAGUGCAACCAGGUGAGUAACAGACCAGGUAGAAAAAUGGUCUCGAAGAGAAGGCCGAUAGCAUUCUUCUUCUCUAAUCAAGAUGAGGUGGA